rnacentral:rRNA from 1 species
AUACGUAGGGUGCAAGCGUUAAUCGGAAUUACUGGGCGUAAAGCGUGCGCAGGCGGUUUUGUAAGACAGAGGGGAAAUCCCCGGGCUCAACCUGGGAACUGCCUUUGUGACUGCAAGGCUAGAGUACGGCAGAGGGGGAUGGAAUUCCGCGUGUAGCAGUGAAAUGCGUAGAUAUGCGGAGGAACACCGAUGGCGAAGGCAAUCCCCUGGGCCUGUAGUGACGCUCAUGCACGAAAGCGUGGUGAGCAAACAGGAUUAGAUACCCUGGUAGUCCGCGCCCUAAACGAUGUCAACUGGUUGUUGGGUCUUCAUUGACUCAGUAACGAAGCGAACGCGUGAAGUUGACCGCCUGGGGAGUACGGCCGCAAGGUUGAAACUCAAAUGAAUUGGCGGGG